rnacentral:rRNA from 1 species
CAGUAGCCGCGGGAAUACGGAGGGUGCAAGCGCUAAUCGGAAUUACUGGGCGUAAAGGGCGCGUAGGCGGUUAGGAAGGUGUGAUGUGAAAGCCCUGGGCUUAACCUAGGAAGUGCAUCGCAAACCAACUAGCUGGAGUAUAAGAGAGGGUGGCGGAAUUUCCGGUGUAGCGGUGGAAUGCGUAGAGAUCGGAAGGAACGUCAAUGGCGAAGGCAGCCACCUGGCUUAAUACUGACGCUGAGGCGCGAAGGCGUGGGGAGCGAACAGGAUUAGAUACCCCUGUAGUCCCUGUCUCUUAUAC